rnacentral:tRNA from 1 species
GGAAGUGUGGCAGAGUGGUUUAAUGCACCGGCUUUGAACACCGGAGGCUGUAACACGGUCCAUGGGUUCGAAUCCCAUCACUUCCUCCA